GACGAACGCUGGCGGCGUGCUUAACACAUGCACGUCGAACGAAGUGGCGAACGGGUGAGUACCGCGUAAUCAACCUGCCCUUCAGAGGGGGACAACAGUUGGAAACGACUGCUAAUACCGCAUACUGAAGGAGGGGAUUGCGUCUGAUUCGCUAGUUGGAGGGGUAACGGCCCACCAAGGCGAUGAUCAGUAGCCGGUCUGAGAGGAUGAACGACGACAUUGGGACUGAGACACGGCCCAGACUACUACGGGAGGCAGCAGUGGGGAGUCGGCCGCAAUGGACGAAAGUCUGACGGAGCAACGCCGGGGGAGGGAUGACGGCCUUCGGGUUGUAAAGCUCUGUGAAUCGGGACGCGGUACCGGAAUAGAAAGCCACGGCUAACUACGUGCCAGCAGCCGCGGUAAUAC
rnacentral:rRNA from 1 species